ensembl:lncRNA
AACAUCCAUCACCGCAAAUAGUUACAAAUUCCUUUUUUUUCCCUUGUGAUGAGAACUUUUAACAUCUGCUCUCUUAGCAACUUUCAAAAAUACAAUACAGGGCAGAGGAUCUUAAUAGACAUUUUCCCAAAGAAGACAUACAGAUGGCCAAUAGGCACACGAGAAGAUGCUCAACAUCACUAAUCAUCAAGAAAAGAAGUCAAAACCACAAUGAGGUAUCACCUCAUAUAUGUUAGAAUAGCUAUAGUCAAAAAGACAAGGGAUAAGUGUUGGUGAGGAUGUGGAGAAAAGAGAACCCUUGUGCACCGUUGCUGGGAAUGUAAAUUGGCGCAGCCACUAUGGAAUAUAGUAUGCAGGUUUCUCAAAAAAUUAAAAAUAGAACUACUUACCAUAUGACCCAGCCAUCCCACUGCUGGGUAUUUAUCCGAAGAAAAUGAAAUCACUAUCCCAAAGAGAUAUCUGCACCCCCGUGUUCACUGCAGCAUAAUUUACAAUGGCGAAGACACAGAAGCAACCUAGAGGUCCAUCAACGGAUGAAUGGUGUUCAACAGAGAACAUUUCCUGACAGAGACUUGAGUGAAGGGGCCAGCUCCCCCAGUGCAGUGCUGGUAGUUGGGCUGGCUCAGAAAGACCAAUGUCCUGAGGCUGUUCUCCAGGGGGCCGGCUAGAGGAACAGGCAGUGAUGGUCUCCCAGGGAUGAAUUCUAGAUGCCUCACAGCUGCUGGGAGGAACAAUGCGGCAUGGUCAGGUUGCUAUGGCCUCAGGUGUUAGUGGAGGGAAGAUUGGGGCCCCUGGGAUCCUCACCGGAAGGCCAAGUUGCUGCCCUGGAAUCUUUGGCUUCGGGAACGCUGGAGAUUUGAGGCCCGGGCAUGCACAGUGCCUCCCCCUGUUCUGGCCAGGUGGGCUCGCCCCUGCACAGCUUGUGGAUCAGAGCCUGGGGCGAGAAGCUCCCCCACUGUGACUGUAAGUGGGGCAGGCGAGGCGUUGACAGGAUUGGGGUUUGCUUGAUAGGUAGCAUGAGCCAGACUCUUUAUGGACGAGUCUGAGAUGAGCGACCACCGGCACCUGGAGCACCAGGUGUUUCUCAUUCCAGGACUCCAGUCCCACCCCCGCAGAACUCCAGCUACAUCGAGCUUCCUCUGGGUAGAGUGGACACGCAGCAGCGCUUCGGGCCUGAUUUUGCCUUCUCUGAGCUGUCCCUGACUCUCAGGGCAUCCCGACCCAUCUGCUCCCUGCCCCUCCAUCAAGACCUGCUCUUACUCCCUGCACAUACCAGAAGUCAUGUAGUGGGGGGACAACACAACCAACUUUUUUAAGUCUCAAAAGGAUGUCAAUUGAAACCUGUUAUAGACGAAAUGCACUUCCUAGAAGUCAAUUGGCCAACAUGCAGAGCUGGAGAGAACAGAUUGUGAAAAUAGGUAAGUCCAGCUGAAAAAUAUCUUACAUACUCAAUUAGAUCCAGCUGUUCUGCAUUUGUGGCUUUCAAAUGGUCAUCAUCCACAGUGGAAUAGAUGUGUCCCUCCUUGCUAAGAAAAUCCACAGCUUGCUUGAUUGAUGCUACAGUCAUGUGCUGGAGCUGGUUCUCGAGAUCCUGAAAGUUCAAUCCUUCAGGUCUUGGGCACACAGUAAUCAAAUUCAGCACCUGGUUUUGGGCCACAGUGAGGCCAUUUGCUGGCAUUAAGCUAUCCCCACCAGAGUUCCCUGCUUCACUCCUUCCUGGAUUGCUGAUAGGGAUUGGGGGGGGGGCGGUGGUCUGUCUGUUUAGGGCCUCAAAGUCUGAAAUCAGGUGUUGGGCAGGCUAAGUUCUCAUCCGGAGGUUCUGGGGAAGAAUCUGCUUCCAAGCUCAUUAAGAUUGUUGGCAGAAUUCAGUUCCUUCUGGUUGUAGGAGUGAGACCCCCUUUUCCUUGCUGGCUGUCAGCCUUGGGCCGCUCUCCACGGCUAGAGACUGCCCACAUUCCUUACUACACCACGCCCACCUUCUUCCACACCAGCAUUGAGUAUUUCUCUCUUGUCAAAUGCCGUUCUCACUUUGAAUUGCUCUGACUUCCUCUGUGUCUGACUUCUAGACCUAGGUUUAAAGGGCUUAUUUGAUUAGGUCAGACCCACCCCGAUAAUCUCCCUGUUUUAAUGUCAGUUGAUUUGCAGUCUUAAUUACAUCUGCAGAAUCCCUUCCUGGCAAGACCUAAAUUAGUGUUUAAUUAAAUAAUUGGUAGAAGCUGUGCACACACCAGGGGCUUGGCAAUGUGGGAGCCAUCUUACAGUUCUACCUGACACACGAGUUAAUAGACUAAGUAGGCCAUUUCAAUAGGCAUAGAAACACAUUUCAACUCAACACCAAUUCACAAUUAAUAUAAGAAUUCAAUUUCAAUUCAAAAUCCAUUCACAGUUAAAAGCUCUCAGCAAAUGAUGGAAUCAAAGGAAACCUGCUCUGUCUGAUAAAGGGCAUCUACAAAAACCCUAUAGUUAACAUCAUCCUUAAUGGUGAAAAACUGAUCUCUGUCUUCCUAAAAUCAAGAACAAGGAAGGAUCUCUAAUCUCAUGAUUUCUAUUAAUGUUCACAGGAGGCCCUAAAGAUUACAGUGAGGCAGAAUCAAGGAAAGAAGGAGAAAGUUUUAUUAGGACACAACUGUAGCCAUUUGUUUACUACUAUCUAUGGCUCUUUGACGCUGCACAGCUGAGUGAAAAGAUGUGGAAAAGAUUACCAGACCUGCAUCUGUCUUCAGAGCUGAGCUGUCACUGCUAUCAUCAUCCACCACAUCAAACAGAGAAACUGCCACCUUUAGCCAUCUAGACUCGCCCAGGAGGUGUCUGAACUGGACAUAGGCCUUGGACAACAAUUCAGACAGCUCACCGCUCCUCUGAAGGGGCCAGCUUUCAUCUUCAUUGAAAGCCGAAUGAAGGAAGCCCAUUCCUUCUUCAUUCCCAGAGACCAUUUCUACUCCUGCCAGAUGUCUGCCAGGGCCCUGAAGUACCUAACAGCCCAAUCCAGUCAUUUCACCUUUGAAU